rnacentral:lncRNA from 1 species
GGAAUCUCAAGAGGACACAGGCCAUAAACUAAGCUCUUUCCUGACCUCUUGUUUCAGUACCUUUCAAGGCCAGUGGCUCCCUUCCUCAGCACCUGUCCCUGUGCCAUGGGCUGCGGCAGGGCUGAGCUGGGUUGCAGAGUCCCCUGGACCAGGUGUGUCUUGGACCAACAGCAUCAGCAGCCCCAGAAAUCUUGUCAGAAAUGCAGGAUCCCAGGGCCUCUCCACCACUGAGUCGCAUCAGCAAUUCAACAAGAUCCCAGGUAACCAAUGGACACCUUAAAGCUUGAGAGCUUCUGGUCUCCAGGACUCUGCUGCCUAACUCCCCUUAUCAUGGCCGCUGGGGCUUGGAGCUGUUUUGGGCGUUGUUCUCCGGGUGGUGGGAGCUUGGUCCUCAGGGUGGUGACGUUGACAAGUGGUGAGAUCUUCCAGAGGUAGGAUCUGUGGAAGAUCCUAGUCUUUGGGCACUGCCCUUGAAAGGACUAACAUAGUUAUCAUGGGACCCUGGUUAAUUCUUGAGAGAGAGAGUUGUUCUAGAAGAGCAAGACUGGACCCUCAUGCUUUCUGGCUUCCUGUCUCACCAUAUGAUCUCUCCUUCUUACACAUACUAAUACCAUGAUGACAUCCAUCAUAAUAUUACCUAGCAAGAGAGGGAAACCUUCUCAAGUGCUGGCACCACAUUGUUGGGACUUCCUGCCUCUAAAACUAUGAACUAAAUCAACCUCUUUUCUUUAUAAGUUACCCAGACUUGGAUAUUUUGUUAUAGCAAUACAAAACAGAAUAACACACUGAUAAUGUUUAGAUUAUUGAAGGACUUUGCAGUUUAGAAUGCUUCUGGCUAGGAAGCCAGGUUUUUCAAGUGGUCUUCAUUGGGUUUCUCCUUUAUUUGACAGCCAUAAUAAGUAUCCAUUGACCAUAAAAUUGUUUAGGUGUUUACUUCUUCUAUACAUGUAUAUACGUGCUUUCAUACAGAGGAUCAUUUUAUAUGCUGUUUUUGAAUCUGUUAUUUCACUAAGCAAUAAAACACAUUUAUCUAGGCCAUUGUGUAUUCUUUUUCAUAUUAUUUGUACUCCAUGCAUGGACUUUUAUUGGCAUAGAGGUAGUGUAAUUCACUUAAUCAGUUCUCAACUAUUGCAUAUCAGGGUUUAUGAACAAUAUAAGAUUGAAAUAUUAUUUUAAAAUUUUAAUAAAAAAUAAUGCUACUUUAUUAUGGAAAGUAAUGUAAAUGAAUGUCACUGACACUACAUUUUUGUCACCGUUUAGGAAAGGAACUUAUCAUAUGACAAAGCAGCACCACAUCUAUAGAUAAAUAGUGUUGGAGAAACUGGGGGGUAAAUAUUUUUCACUCUGUGCUGAGAUUCAAAUAUGGUUUAUUGUCACCCCAAAAUUCGCUUUGAGACUUGAUUUCUCAACGUGGCAGUGUUAGCGGGUGGGGCUUCUGAGAGGUGAUUGGGCCACUGGGCGCUGCUUCUCAGGAAUGGGCUAGUGCCUUUCUUCAGAGACUAGGUCAGUUCUCUUGAGACUGGAUCAGGUCUUCCUGAUGAGUUUGAUCCCUCAGGCCUGGACUGGUUUCUACAAGAGCAGCUUGUUAUGCAGCCAGCCCCUUAGUUACGUACAUGAUCCUUCCUCAUGCACUCACUUCUCCUCUCUGCUUUUCCAUCCUGAUGUGACCCAACAUGAGGCCCUCAUCAGAAGCCAACAAGAUGUGAUUACCCAAUCUUGGGUAGAAUUUUCAACCAAAAUAAAUCUCCUUUCUUUAUAAAUUUCCCAGCCUCCAGUAUUUUGUUAUAGUAACACAAAAUGGAUUAAAAGACUGUGACUACAUUUAAGGUUGAACUCUAGAUGAUAAGAUGGUGUGACGGUUUGGAUAUGAAGUGUCCUCCAAAGUCUCAAGGCAGCAAGAUUCAGAGGGAGGAAUUUGGGGAAGUGAUUGGAUCAUGAAGGCUCUGACCUCAUCAGUGGAUUAAUUCAUUGAUAACUGAAUGAAUUAUUGAGAGGUGAUGAAAACUAUAGGCAGGUGGGGCAUGAUGGAAGGAAGUAGGUCAUUGGGGUGCAUUUUAGAAAGGUAUAUCUUGUCCUUGACCUUCUCUCUACCCCUCCCCCACUUCCCUCUCCUGGAUGCCAUGAGCUGAGAAGAUACUCUCUGCCAUUCCCUUGUACCAUGAUGUUCUGUCUUACUUCAGGUAAUGAAGCCAACUGACCAUGGACUGAAACCUCUAAUACCCUGAGCAAAAAUAAAUCUUUUUUCCUUUAAGUUUUUUAUGCCAGGUAUUUUGGUCACAGUGACAAAAACCUGACUACUGCAGAAGCACAGAUGGCCUAAAUGUGACAGGUCAAAUCACACAAUAAGACAAAAUGUAGGAGAUGAGACAAGGAGCUGGGAUUAUUGGAUGAACUUUGUGUGCAAAAACUGGAGAAGUAUAUAAACUCUGAGGUUACAAAAAAAAAAAAAAGCCAUAUUUGAUUACAUCGAUUUUAAGUACUUCCAUUCAGCAAAAGAUACCAUAACUAAAGCACAAACCGACUGAAAGAAGAUAUUGGUAAUGUCUAAAGCUUGGCAAGGGUCAAUAUCUAAAUUACAGAAUUUUCAAGAAAUUCCUGCAUAUCAAAAUUUUUUAAAAGUUCCCAACAGGGGCUGGGGUUGCGGCUCAGUGGUAGAGCACUUGCCUAGCAUGUGUGAGGCACUGGGUUUGAUCCUUAGCACAACAUAAAAAUAAAUAAAUUAAUUAAUUUAAUAAAGGUAUUGUGUCCACCUACAACAAAAAAUUUUUUUUUUAAAGUUCAGGAAAAAAAAAUAGCAAUAUCAUUGGGAAGAUAGAAGAGAAUAGUAACAAGCAGUUUCAAAAAAAGAAAACAAAAGAAAAGAAAGAAAGAAAGAAAGAAAGAGAAAAAGAACUUCAAAAAGCAUAGCCCAAAUGCUCAAACUCAUUACUGAGCACAGAGGGACAAAACUAAAUCAACAUUGACAUGUCGCCACACCAGUAUUGGACUAGAAAAUUGGAAAGUGGUUCAAUUAGAAGGGUGGGUAGAUGUGGCAACAAGAGCCUUGGCCCACCAGCGGUGGGACUAUGGAUUGGCGCGGUUCUCUCUGAGAGUUGCUGGGUAAGAUGAAGUCAAAUUAAAUGGACAAACACCCUGACACCCAGCACUCUACUGCCCUGGUCAGCUGUCACCAGGAAUUCCUCACCAGUGUCCAUAAAGGAAUGUGAAUUUUCAUCACAGCAUUGUGUAGGAUGACCAGAAACUGGAAGUCACCUGCAUGAGGAUGAUUGGAAAAAUGGAAAAGCAAAAUAUGUUGAAUGUCGAGUUUGUACAGCAGGUAGAAGAAAUAGGUAUUACAACAAGUAGCUAUGGGGCUGGACCUUAAAAACAGUGGAGGGUGAAGAAGUCUAUAGAAUAUACAUAAUACUAUGAAGUAAAUUAAAAUAUAUAUGCGUACAAAGCAGAAGACAUUUUGAAGGAGCUCAUGCAUUCCAAGGUGCCUGUUAGAAGCAACAGCAAGAUUGCCUGCAGCCCAGAAAGAGGAUUGAAAGAAAGGAGAAGGAAUAAAAGAUAACACAAGGGAAGAGCCUCAGAGGACUGCUCAGGCAGAGGCCAACCUUGGCACUCAGUGAGGGAAGAACCUUUAUUCAUAUCUGUAAUUAUUCUGUAGAUUGACUUCACUACAUUCUGAAGUUGGGAGGAGAUGAAAAGCAACAGGAUUCCCCAUUAGUUGGCCGAGGCCUUCACACAGAGGACCCUCACCUACUAUUUCUGAGCUUGAGGCUAAUUUCCCUUUUCCCCCAGAGCAGUGACACCCUGAAGUGAAUUUCAGCCCCCCCUUCUCUGGCUGGGCCAGGAGAUAAGGAGGCAGCUGCUCCGAGAUGUGGUUGCUGAUGAACAGGAGGAGAAUCGGGUCCUGUGUAUGCAGAUUAUCACAUGACAGCAUUCGAUAAGCCUCGCACGUUAGGAUCACAGGAUCUUAGACUCGAGCCCAGGGAGUCUCUGGGUUUGACCUCUCCUCUAUCAUGAGAGCCCCUUCAACAACCUCUGCAGAGGCUAAGGGCUCCUAGUACACAAGGCAAUUCCCUGCUCCUCCACUCCCUGACCCCCAGGUCCCUAGCCUUCCUCCAACUCUACCUUACAGGCCGGGAGGCCGGCCCCUGCAGAUUUUAUCUGGAAUCUCUUGGUCCUAAAGACUGGAUGUCACUGAACAAAAACAGGACUAAAUCUCAGAUGCCUAUGGGUAACGGUCCCCACGUGCAGUUCUCUGUCCUGUGUGCCCAGGACAAACCACUUCUUAGACCAGAGGCAGCUCAAGAGCCAACAGCUAAGGGGUUUGACAUUCUUAAAGGGUUGUAAAAAGACAGAGUGGGAGAAAGAGAGAAAGAGGAGGAGGAGGAGGAGGAAGGAUAAAAGGAGGAAAAGGAGAAGAAAGAAGGAGGAGGAGAAGGAGAAAUGGAAGCUGUAUGUGGCCUCAAAGCCUAAAAUAUUUACUCUCUGAAAAAGGUCUGCAGACUGCUACUUCGAGAAACCGCAGCAGCCUUGGCGUGACCUGGGGGCUUUUUGGAAAUGAAGGGUUUCUGGCAUGUCUGGGAGCUUCAGAAUCAAACAGGAGUCCUGGGUGAUGGGAGGGCACAGGGAAGACUGGGAAGCCUGGCCCCUGGGUGUCUCAACUUGGCAUGGCUGGCUUUGGUUGCUCAGGGGCAAGCUCUAGGGCUGGACGUGGGGGUUGGAAUCCUGGCUCUACCGCUUCUUUGCUGAGAGUCCAAGGAUGUCCUUUCAUCUUUAUCAAGCCCUGUUUCUUCCUCUCUGAAAUGGAGAUAAUCACAGUUUCCACCUGAUAGGGGUUUCAUGUGGUUUUAGAUCCUCGAGCUCCCAGCAAGAGCUCCAUGAUGCCAGACUCCGUUUCUACUGUGCGGCCUCUCGUGUCAAGCCUCCGAGCAGGGGCACAUGCUUUGCAUAGAUACCCAGGGCUUCUGCACCGAUGGGCUGGGGUGUUUCCUGAGAAUCCUAGCUAUGCAAAUACUCUGCAUCAGCAGGUGAGAAGGGCAAGGGUGAGCCCACACCCGCCCCACCUGGGUCAGCCUGUUUCUUUUCAACACUCCAGGAGGGAGGGGACAAUUGCUUUCUGAUUGGGGACGAAUUGGUGUGCUUAGGACAGAGAUACGGGCACUUGUUUCCCUGAGAAACACUCAGUGUUUGGAUCACAUUGAAACAAGGUUAACAUUUACAAAAACAGAAACAAAUAAAACCCCUCUGCUUCCACUCAGAAGCUGCCACACGCAGGCUGCCUUGGACAUGACCUUGCCUCUGGUGGCCUUCCUUAGGCCUUGAAAUGACUGCCUUGUGGUCUGAUUUGCAUUUAGUAUGUGCUUUUCCUGCACAAGGUUCACGUGGAUUCUGCCUGGCUGAGGCCAGGUAGGAGCAGGUGAGGGCGGAAGUUAGAGGACAGCUAGUGACCUCACCUGGGGCUUCGAGAAAGGGACUUGUUUCAGUGUAGAUUUACCAACUGCCAUUCCAAGGGAGGACCUAACACAAAGCACAGUCUCUGUGCUUUCCAUACGAGAGCCCGAGAUUUGCUUCCCGUUUGGCUUUUGAGGAUUGCUUCUCUAGAUGCAUGCAGCCUGCCUCAAUAUUUUCAAGGAUACAGAUUCUAGAAAAGGCAUUUGUCCCCAAGUGCCAUUUACUUUCCUAAGUACAUAGUUCAAGUCACCUCAGAACCCAGCAAAUCCCCUGCUGUUGCUUUGUGAACUUGGGCUUCUCAAGGGUAAACUUGAUGCUUUUUAAGGUAGGACCAUUUUUCCCCCACGAUGGACAUGACACAUAAAUUGCAUACAGGAUACAUCUUUUGUGGAGGGUGGGUUUUUAUUUAUUUAUUUAUUCACUUUUUAAUGGGGUACAUUAUGGUAACCCAACACAUGUAUAAUAAUCAAACCAGGUAAUAAGCAUUUCCAUCUCUUCUACCAUUUUUACAUAUGGAAAUUUCAUACUUUGGGGGUCAUUUUUGCCAGCUGCCAGCAAUUUUGAAAUGGGUUAUAGAUUAUUUGAAUCAAUAGUUACCCUGCUGUGCUCAAGAAGAGCCAGAGGGAUUCCUCCACUGUGUUUUUGGUAAACUUUCUUUUGUCCGCCCUCACCCCUGCCCUUUCCACCCUCUAGUGACCACUCUUCCAUUCUGUUCUUCUAUACAAUUGACUUAUUAGUUUCCACAAAUGAGGGAGAACAUAGGAUUCAGCAACUCCAUGACAGAGUAUAUAUCCAAAGAAGAGGAAAUCAUUACUUUGAUUUUGCAAAGUAUCUUUGCAAGAAACACAUACUCUCAUGUUUAUUACAGCACUGGUUGCAAUAGCCAAGGCAUGGAAUCCACCUGGUGUCCUUCAGAAAGAAUAAGAAAAUGUAGAAUAGAUAGACAAUGGAAUUCUAUUCAGCCAUAAAAAAUAAAAAAUAAAAUAAAAUCCUGUUUGCAGUAACAUGAAUGAAACAAGCCAGAUGCACAAAAAGGAUACUACUUAAAAUAAAAAAUACACACACACAUGCACACACACCCAGAGUUUGCACAAUAUUUUGCAUUUGGCCACUUAGUUCUUUUAUUUUUAUUUUUUUGAUGGGGGUAGGGAGGGACCAGGGAUUGAAUUCAGGGGCACUAGAUCACUGAGCCACAUCUCCAGCCCUUUUUUUGUAUUUUAUUUAGAGACAGGGUCUCACUGAAUUGCUAAGCGCCUUGUCUUUGCUGAGGCUAGCUUUGAACUUGCGAUCCUCCUGCCUCAGCCUCCCAAGCCACUAGGAUUACAGGCAUGUGCCACCGGGCCCAGCUGGCCACUUAAUUUUAAAACCUUUUGGCAAAUCAGAAGGCAGGAGAGUUGGCAUGGGGGAGAGAUCUCUGUGGGGCUGCAUGACGUGAGUUCUAGCGUGGGCUCUUCCACUAACUCAGUGAUGUGACCCUAAGUAGUCCCGUAAGCUCAGUUUCCUUAUCUGUAAAAUUUAGAUAGUGGGUGCCACAUGGGCUGCAUUGAGCUCUACAACUUCCACAGGCUGGCGGAGGGCUGCCUCUGUGGGGUGGGGUUCGAGUGAUGGAGGACAUCAGCCUCCCACUUCUUUAACUAGAGCAGCUCCACUUUCUUCUGUUUUACACACAAGGCACCAGGAGUCUGUUUGAAGGAGGGUCUUCAAAGCUGAGCUAAAACCUUUUAAAAAAAUGACUUAGAUGACCACUCAAGUAGGAUGAUCCUACAUAAUUUAUCAUCCACCCUGGGACAUUUUGAGAUUGAAAAGGAUGUUAUUAAUAAUGGCACUGAGACAAUAGAUUCCAGUGGGGCCACCCCAGGCAAAGAUGUGUGUUCACCCACCUCUGACUCCUCUAAGAGCUCAGAGUCUCCUUGCUUUUGCAUCCUAUCAUUCUGUGGCUUGACUGCUUACUCCCACUUAGCAUCAGGCAGAAUUCUGGGAGUGACCCUAGGGACAGCAGCAAUCAAAGACAGCCUCAGGGAAUGGAGUCAUUAGGUGAUAGCCUGAGGGACAGCAGUCAUCAGGAGCAGCUCCAGGGACAGAAGCCAUCAGGAGACAGCACCAUGCUUUCCUACAAGAGCAUGCAGCUGGAAGAAAUGCACCCAUGAGGCCACCUGACAAUGACGGAUGACACAAGUUCAGCCUGGUUCUUGUUCAGAAUCCUGUGCGAAUCACAAGUUACAUGGCGAAGACAGCAGAAAACUCAACCAGCAAUUACCCAGUAAGCAAGAACCCACGAGGAACCCAGUCUGGGACAUGAAUAUUGGUUGUGAAAGAAUAAGCACAAAUGGCCCAAAUCUCAGGUCCUCAGAUUGCAGGAGAGUCCAUAGAGGAGUGUCACAAGGCACACAUGAAAGUUACAUUUCCCAGGCAGGCUGUCAGUGGGCUCUUGUGCCAAACCCAAAGUAUCCUAUUGUGAUUUCUGCCAAGAAAAUUAAAAUGGCAGAGGAGCCAGGACCUCUCUUCCUGCCUUCUUACCCCAUGGACAGGGCAGCGUCUGUUAGGACCUCUGAUCCCAUGGGGCUUAGGUUUGAAUCAGUAGUGGUGGAUUACUCAAUUAUUUCAUUAAACACCAUCCCCCCUGUUCACCCACCCAGAGUUUCUUGCUGUGAUGUUCUACUGCUUCUCCUCCUCCAGGAAUGUUCUUUGCAUCAAAAUGACCCUGCCCUCCCUCCUGUUUUGUCUCACUAUGGUGAAGUUCAUUCGCUGGCAGCCCAGCAAGCAGGAGGAGGCUGGUGUUGGUACAUACCUGCUACUCGUUUACCUUUGAUGAUUUUUUUUUUUCCUGGUUACCUUCAGUUGGCAAAUAAUGGUUAGGGACUCUGGGGCUAGGAAUGGGAUAUAGUUCUGCAUCCUAAUCUGGGCUUUCCUUUCUGCCACCAGUUGUGUGAUAUUGGACAAGAAGAGCAACCUGCCUGAGUCUUGGGUUUUCUCCUCUGUAAAGUAGAAUUAUAUGAUUUGCCCUGUCUCCUUUCCAGGACUGUGAUGAGGACCCCGCAAGUGUCACCAUUGUCUGCCGCCACCUUCUCAUCUGCCCGCCCCAUCCCAGGCCAAGAAGACUCCUGCAGUUCCUCUGGAAUUCUCUGGAAUUCUGCUCUCACGGGAACCCUGGCUCCACUCAAACACCAUCCCUCUCACAUCUCAUUCCUGGGGUUGUUCCCCUCCUCUGCUUCUAGUUUCUUUGCACAAAACUCACUUUGCACAUGUUAAUAAGCCAGAUUUCCAUGAAGCAGAACAGUUCACGUCACAGCCCCGCACACAGCUAACAGUUCAAUAUUGGACUUUCAUUUCUGAACCGCCUUGUAUAUUUCUGCCAGCUCACCUUCUGCCCCCUCCCUCUUCUCGACUCUCAGCAGCAUGGAAAUUUUUUCUGGGAAUCAUUUUGCAGAGCAAUUCCAUUCCUCCAGUCCCUACUCCCAGAUUCAACACGGGCUUCCCUUGAUGACUCCAAAGACUCACGAAUGUGUUUGGCUGAACAAUGCAACGUGCUCUAUGUACGGUCUGAAAUAAGAAAAAAAAUUUCUUUUAUGUAAGAAUGAAAUGGUGUCCAACUUAGGAAUUAGGUUGGAUCCCAACGUGCUGAGUCUGAGGAGAGACUUUAGCCAAUAACAAACAGCCCUGAGAGCUUCUGAGGAAACUGGCCAACUAGGAGGAACCCAGUAUUGGGAGGGGACACUGCAGCCAAGAGGCCUUUGCACUGUGCCUGCUAAGGGAAGGCUACUGGCUUCUUCAAGAAAUCCUUGGGUAACUUGAAGGUAGGUGACACCCAAGCUGAGGAAACUGCCUCACCCGGCCCUGCAUGGUUUUGGCCUCUGUCUUCAAUAAACCCUCUGUCAACACUGGGAACUGGGGGGAGCACAUCUCUUCCUCCUCCUUCUAGCAUCACAGCCCCAAACCCAACCCUCGGCACCCAGCCCAUCUGCCUGCUCUCAAGAGAAGAAAAAGGAGAGCCGUUCUUUGUACGAGGUGGGCAGGGGCACAGGAGGCUUCUCGCUGGGGCCCAUUGACUAAUUAUGUCACUGAGAACAAGAGCAUGUGUUUGAAAGCUCUGAAAACUGGAAACGGGGAUAGAAGGAUGGAUGGAUUUAAUUAAUCAUUAUCACUCAGGUGGGAUGGAUCCAAGUCAUGAAGCUAGACUGCAGGAAGGGCCCAGGGAGCUCCUGGCACUCUCUCAGGUGUGAAGGGAAGAAAUGAGGCCAGUUAUUAUGGCUUCACUGUAACUAAUCAAAAUGAGAAUGCAUGGGGCAGCGUGGUACCGUCUACCGGUGCUAGAGUGGGAGCUCUCAUAUAAAUGCUAACAAGGCAAGAAGGGGAUUCUGGCUGGUGGAGGAAGCGCAGAGCAGGAACCACAGGUCUCAUUUCCUCAGACAGCAGCGUGGACUCACUUUAAUUUGCAGAUGUUUUAAGCUCUAGGUGCCAGCAUCUGGAGGGCAGAAGAGAAACAGCUGUCGCCUCAUGGAUGUGACAGAUUAAAGCUGAAAUACACGUGGACAUCUCUCGUUUUAGAAACACAGCGGUCUCCUUUGCUUUGUGUUUGUUUUAUCCACUCCACCUUCCUGCAGUAGUUAGUGGGAGAGAUUUUAUAUCAGGAAUGGCAAAGGUCUCUCUGACACAUAUAGUAUAUUCAGAGGUCAGUACCUAUAAAAAUGGGCUUUGGGGCUGGACAGAGCAAAUUGGAGUUCCUAGCUGGGUUAUCUUGAGCAAAUAUAUGUCUCGGUUUCCUCAUCUGUAUGUCUUGGUUUCCUCAUCUGUAAAAUGGGGCUAUCAGCAGUAGUGUCCAGGAUAUCUUUAAGGUUCCAUUGAGACGUGGAUGUCAAGGUUCAUCCCAGGGCUUGACAUGGAGCAGUGGAGUGCUCUAUGACUCAGUAAGUGGCAGCUAUCACUGUGGUCAUCUUCACCAUCGAUUCUGGGCUGCGUCUUCUUGUGGUCAUGCUAAGCGGCGAACGUGAAGGAAGACUGACUGAGCAGGGAAUGUAGGCGAUCGUCACCGCACUGUCAUAUGCUUCGCUUUCUCCUCCUAGAAAACAAAGCAUCCUUUGAAAAAGGAAUUGCUUUCAUUUCCCAUGGGAAGUAAUUUCUACAACCCACAAGUAAAUGCAGUCUAAUGACUAGAAUGUGACAGUAGCUAUCAAGAAUGAAAUGUUCCAUAAACAGUACUGCCUCCUAAAAUUACUCAGUCUCAGUGCUUGGUUUGGGUUCUCUCUUGCCCACCCGUCCUUCCCUGCUACUUCUCUUCCUCUCUCCCAACAUCUCCUCUCCCCCAUUCCAUCUUUUUAGGAUGCUCAGACCAAGCUACCACUGCCCCCCGCCACCCCAAAUCCCUAAAGAAUGCAAAGCUGUCCUGGGGCUCCAUCGAAAGCCCAAAGGACUAGAUGCGACUCUGUUUAUUGAGUGGCCUGGGGGAGGGAGCGGGGGUCUUGAUGCUGCAAAGGCAGUUGGCAAACCAGUGGAGCAUGCCUCAUCCAUUUUCAGAGAAACAUCAUUUAAUCUCAGAACAUCUGCAAGAGUCUGCAGCAUAUUUUCCCCAGGGUUUGACUCUGAGCUGACAAAAGAUACCGGACACCCCCCCAGAUUCUGUGACACAUCUCGAUGUUAUUGAACAAACAUCAGUUAGGUUCCUGUCUCAGAGCACCAUCAGUCUGAAUAGGAAAUAUGCCAGCACUCUUAUCAUCGCUGACAGCACAGUCACUCACCUGCUGAUAGUGUCAGGAACGCAGUUCCCCGUGGUGGGGGGCUCUCCUCUCACUUCUCUGGAAGCAUUGUUCUCAGGCGGGCAAAAUAAUUAAGGGCCUUUGGAGUUUAUGUUUACUUUCUCAGAGUAAGCAAGAAUUCCUUGAUCAAUGUAAUGUACCUUGCAAACACAUAAUAAAUGUCAAUGGAUUCAAUAUUCUUUGAAACACGUUCAGGGCUUACUUUUCC